UGUAAGCGUAUACCAAAGUUGUUGCAGUUAAAACGCUCGUAGUCGGAAUUUGGCAGUUCCGGAAGUGUGCACGUCGUGUGCGCACUUUGCGGGGACUGCUUUUGUGGUCUUGCGUAGGAUGAGGCACUUUCAUUAGUGAACGUCCUCACGCAACCACUCAUUACUGUGAGAAAAUCAGAGUGCUCAAAGCAGGCAUUUGCCGUGAAUGUAUUAGCAUGGAAUAAUAGAAUAGGACUCGGUUCUAUUUUGUUGGUUUGUUGGGACUGAGUAAUGAUUAAGAGGGACAGUUGGGGGCAUUUGUAUUCCGGCGCUAGAGGUGAAAUUCUUAGAUUGCCGGAAGACAAACUGCUGCGAAAGCGUCUGCCAAGGAUGUUUUCAUUGA
rnacentral:rRNA from 1 species